ACACAUGCAGUCGAACGGCAGCACAGUAAGAGCUUGUCUUACGGGUGGCGAGUGGCGGANGGGUGAGGAAUACAUCGGAAUCUACUUUUUCGUGGGGGAUAACGUAGGGAAACUUACGCUAAUACCGCAUACGACCUACGGGUGAAAGCAGGGGACCUUCGGGCCUUGCGCGAUUGAAUGAGCCGAUGUCGGAUUAGCUAGUUGGCGGGGUAAAGGCCCACCAAGGCGACGAUCCGUAGCUGGUCUGAGAGGAUGAUCAGCCACACUGGAACUGAGACACGGUCCAGACUCCUACGGGAGGCAGCAGUGGGGAAUAUUGGACAAUGGGCGCAAGCUGACCCAGCCAUACCGCGUGGGUAGAAGGCCUUCGGUUGUAAAGCCCUUUUGUUGGAAANAAANCCAGCCGGCUAAUACUUGGUUGGAAUGACGGAACCCAAAGAAAAGCACGG
rnacentral:rRNA from 1 species